AAAUCAGUAAGGAACGUUGGAGACUACGACGUUGAUAGGCUGGGUGUGGAAGUACAGCAAUGAAUGAAGCUUACCAGUACUAAUGAUCCGAGAGACUUAAGUCU
rnacentral:rRNA from 1 species